rnacentral:pre_miRNA from 1 species
UGAUGAUGAUGAUGAUGAUGAUGAUGAUGAUGAUGAUGAUGAUGAUGAUGAUCAUCAUCAUCACCAUCACCAUCACCAUCAUCAUCAUCAUCAUCA